AUUGAACGCUGGCGGCAUGCCUAACACAUGCAAGUCGAACGGCAGCACGGCAGUAGCAAUACUGUGGGUGGCGAGUGGCGGACGGGUGAGGAAUACGUCGGAAUCUGCCCAGUCGUGGGGGAUAACUAGCCGAAAGGUUAGCUAAUACCGCAUACGACCGAGAGGUGAAAGCGGGGGACCGCAAGGCCUCGCGCGAUUGGAUGAGCCGACGUCGGAUUAGCUAGUUGGAGGGUAAAGGCCCACCAAGGCGACGAUCCGUAGCUGGUCUGAGAGGAUGAUCAGCCACACUGGAACUGAGACACGGUCCAGACUCCUACGGGAGGCAGCAGUGGGGAAUAGUGGACAAUGGGCGCAAGCCUGAUCCAGCAAUGCCGCGUGUGUGAAGAAGGCCUCGGUU
rnacentral:rRNA from 1 species